UGGGGAAUUUUGGACAAUGGGGGCAACCCUGAUCCAGCAAUGCCGCGUGUGUGAAGAAGGCCUUCGGGUUGUAAAGCACUUUUGUCCGGAAAGAAAACUUCGUCCCUAAUAUGGUGGGAGGAUGACGGUACCGGAAGAAUAAGCACCGGCUAACUACGUGCCAGCAGCCGCGGUAAUACGUAGGGUGCGAGCGUUAAUCGGAAUUACUGGGCGUAAAGCGUGCGCAGGCGGUCUGUUAAGACCGAUGUGAAAUCCCCGGGCUUAACCUGGGAACUGCAUUGGUGACUGGCAGGCUUUGAGUGUGGCAGAGGGGGGUAGAAUUCCACGUGUAGCAGUGAAAUGCGUAGAGAUGUGGAGGAAUACCGAUGGCGAAGGCAGCCCCCUGGGCCAACACUGACGCUCAUGCACGAAAGCGUGGGGAGCAAACAGGAUUAGAUACCCCUGUAGUCC
rnacentral:rRNA from 1 species